UACGGAAGGGGCUAGCGUUGUUCGGAAUUACUGGGCGUAAAGCGAGUGUAGGCGGCUUGGCAAGUCGGAUGUGAAAUCCCGGGGCUCAACUUCGGAACUGCAAUCGAAACUGGCUGGCUCGAGUCCCGGAGAGGGUUGCGGAAUUCCCGGUGUAGGGGUGAAAUCCGUAGAUAUCGGGAGGAACACCAGUGGCGAAGGCGGCGACCGGGACGGUGACUGACGUUGAGACGCGAAAGCGUGGGGAGCAAACAGG
rnacentral:rRNA from 1 species